rnacentral:rRNA from 1 species
GACGAACGCUGGCGGCGUGCUUGACACAUGCAAGUCGAACGGAAAGGCCCCUUCGGGGGUCCUCGAGUGGCGAACAGGUGAGUAACACGUGAGUAACCUGCCCUUGACUUCGGGAUAACUUCAGGAAACUGGGGCUAAUACCGGAUAGGAAUCCUUGCUGCAUGGUGGGGGUUGGAAAGCUUCGGCGGUUUUGGAUGGACUCGCGGCUUAUCAGCUUGUUGGUGGGGUAGUGGCUUACCAAGGCUUUGACGGGUAGCCGGCCUGAGAGGGCGACCGGCCACAUUGGGACUGAGAUACGGCCCAGACUCCUACGGGAGGCAGCAGUGGGGAAUAUUGCACAAUGGGCGGAAGCCUGAUGCAGCAACGCCGCGUGCGGGAUGACGGCCUUCGGGUUGUAAACCGCUUUCAGCAGGGGCGAAGCUUGUGGUGACGGUACCUGCAGAAGAAGCACCGGCUAACUACGUG